rnacentral:rRNA from 1 species
CAGUGGGGGACAACAGUUGGAAACGACUGGCUAAUACCGCAUAAUGUAUCGAUGGGGCAUCCCAAUGAUACCAAAGAUUUAUGUGCUGAGAGAUGGUCUCGCGUCUGAUUAGCUAGAUGCGGGGUAACGGCCCACCAUGGCGACGAUCAGUAGCCCGGUCUGAGAGGAUGAACGGCCACAUUGGGACUGAGAUACGGCCCCAGGACUCCUACGGGAGGCAGCAGUGGGGAAUAUUGGGCAAUGGGGGAAACCCCUGACCCCAGCAAACGCCGCGUGAAGGAAGAAGGCCUUCGGGGUUGUAAACUUCUUUUAGCAGGGACGAAGAACGUGACGGUACCUGCAGAAAAAGCAACGGCUAACUACGUG